rnacentral:rRNA from 1 species
GGCCGCGGGAAUUCGAUUCAGGCCUAACACAUGCAAGUCGAGCGCGAAAGUUCUUCGGAAUGAGUAAAACGGCGAACGGGUGAGUAAUGCAUGGGAAUCUGCCUGGUAGUGGGGGACAACGUCUCGAAAGGGACGCUAAUACCGCAUACGCCCUACGGGGGAAAGAGGGGGAUCUUCGGACCUCUUGCUAUCAGAUGAGCCCAUGUCGGAUUAGCUUGUUGGUGAGGUAAAGGCUCACCAAGGCGACGAUCCGUAACUGGUCUGAGAGGAUGAUCAGUCACACUGGAACUGAGACACGGUCCAGACUCCUACGGGAGGCAGCAGUGGGGAAUAUUGGACAAUGGGCGCAAGCCUGAUCCAGCAAGGGCGCGUGUGUGAAGAAGGCCCUAGGG